rnacentral:rRNA from 1 species
GACGAACGCUGGCGGCGUGCCUAAUGCAUGCAAGUCGAGCGGACUUUCAAGAAGCUUGCUUUUUGAAAGUUAGCGGCGGACGGGUGAGUAACACGUGGGCAACCUGCCUGCAAGACGGGGAUAACUCCGGGAAACCGGGGCUAAUACCGGAUAAUAUCUUCCUUCGCAUGAAGGAAGGUUGAAAGGCGGCGCAAGCUGCCGCUUGCAGAUGGGCCCGCGGCGCAUUAGCUAGUUGGUGAGGUAACGGCUCACCAAGGCGACGAUGCGUAGCCGACCUGAGAGGGUGAUCGGCCACACUGGGACUGAGACACGGCCCAGACUCCUACGGGAGGCAGCAGUAGGGAAUCUUCCGCAAUGGACGAAAGUCUGACGGAGCAACGCCGCGUGAGCGAAGAAGGUCUUCGGAUCGUAAAGCUCUGUUGUCAGGGAAGAACAAGUACCGUUCGAACAGGGCGGUACCUUGACGGUACCUGACCAGAAAGCCACGGCUAACUACGUG